rnacentral:rRNA from 1 species
UACGGAGGGGACUAGCGUUGUUCGGAAUUGACUGGGCGUAAAGCGCACGUAGGCGGAUUUGUAAGUCAGGGGUGAAAUCCCGGGGACUCAACCUCGGAACUCGCCUUUGAUACUGCAAAUCUCGAGUCCGGAAGAGGUGAGUGGAAUUCCUGAGUGUAGAGGUGAAAUUCGUAGAUAUUAGGAAGAACACCAGUGGCGAA